rnacentral:rRNA from 1 species
ACGGCCAUACCACAUUGAAAACACCGUUCUCGUCCUAUCACCGAAGUUAAGCAAUGUCGGGCCCGGUCAGUACUUGGGAGGGUGACCACCUGGGAACACCGGGUGCUGUAGGCU